rnacentral:lncRNA from 1 species
AUACAUGUUCCUCGGAGCAAGAUGAAAAUUAUUGAUCUGUUCUUUGAAGUUAUGUGAGAAGUAGUGAGAUUAUAUUAAAGCAACAAGAAAUCACAAACAUGCUAAAAGCCAUAAUAACUGGAGCAUUAGCAAUUAUGGGUCUCAAUCAAAAUAUGAGCGAUCCAUGCUUCUUUGCAAAGUUAGAUAAAUUGGAAAGGAGUAUGACAUUGUGGAAAAUUAUUCUAUCCUAUCGAGAUGAGCAAUUGAAGGGAAAUACAAGUUAUAUUAUGAACACUUUGCUCAUCAAGAUUAUUUUUCCUUAUUUAGAUGUAAAUCUUAUAUAACUUAAAUGCAUAGGAGGUUUGUUAAAGUUAAGUCUUGUGUGGAUUGAUCUACAAGUCAGUUGAAGCUUCGAAGACCUUUUACGACAAUGCAUACUCAUGACCUAUUUGACUUGGGUAUACAUCCAUCUUUUCUUGUAGCAAUAUAUGCAUCAAAAGAAGUGUACCAUUAUAUGAUUGUUCUAGAAAGCAGUUCAUACAGCCACAUAUGAGGAUGCAUUUAUGUCACUACCCUGCAAGGCUUGCAUGAUAUUGCACAUAUGGAGGGUUCAAUCACAUGGUCCGAGAUGACAAUAUACAGUGCCAUGUAUGGAUUACAUUUCCUGUUUGCCUUUCUUUAUUUCUUUUUUUUUUAUGCUAUAACAUAAGGGUCAUUAUAAUUUGAUGUCUUUCUUUAGUUGUCACUUAAGUGACACCUUGACCCUCAUCCUAUAUGUUUUGAUUGGUCUAACUGGUGUAAAGUAUCUUGGUUAGCUUGCUUAUUAUUUUCUCUUCCGCCGACACAAGUAGAUAUGUAUUAGACAUUUGAAAAUUUUCUCCUAGCGAGAAUGCCUUGCUUACAAGGAUUGUGUUUGUAGCUUUGAAGCAUUUCUUGGUUAAGUCUUGGCAGCUGAGUACUGACUGGUAUUUUUGAUGUUUGUAAAUGGCCUUGGGGAUAGGUGUUACUUCAAUUGUGAGGAUAUUGACUCUGGUGUUAAGAUCUUUGAAGAGUAUACAAGCUCAAGACCCCCAACUGCUGAGUUGUAUGUGGUAAGUUUACAUUAUCAUACUCAGAUACGUGAGGUAUGGACUCACUACUAUAUCCAUGUGAUAUUUCUUGUUCUAGUGGAAGAAGUGUGAGGUUUUGGAUGCAUGAUAAAAUAAGGAGGAGAUGACAGAAGAAAUACGAGAGUAAGCGGGUUUUAGGUUUGCAAUCCCCAGAUUCUCCAUUAAUUGUUCUAUAAGAUUUUCCGUGUCCUGAAUUGUCAGAAUUGCAGGUUGAAUACCUUUCCAAACUUCUUUUACUUCUACCUGACCCGGUUUUCCAUCUUUGGCUGACUUCUUCGAGUGUUACAAACCUUGCAAGAUAAAUGUGGUUGUAUGUUGAUACUGGUCCUGUGAAUGUUAUUACCCUUGAAGUUCAAACCUUACCGAACGUAAUAUAUGGAUAUCAAAGCAUAAAACUAAGUCAUACUUUGUCAAAAGUCAAAACUAAGUUUAUACCUGCUAAUUGUUUGGAGCAAUUUGACAAUUGCAGUUACUUCCAUUUCACCCAUCUAAGAAAAAGGGCAAAGGAAGUGAAAGAAUGAAGAAACAAUUUUCACUUUUUACGUCCACUAUUCUGCCAUAUCGUGGCAUUUAGAUCAUUUCUCGCAACACAAUCAAGUCUUUGUGGUCACUAAUAAAAUUUCUGCUUGAGCUUUUACUUUUUGUUUUUUUUUUUAUGUGUAAUGUACAGACCUUGAUUGAAGGAGCAAUGGUUGGAUAUACUCCUAGAGGAAUGCAAAUUGCUCAAGAGAAUCUGGUAUUUGAUUCUUCAAAUAUUGGAUGUUGAUUUAACACUUCUGAACCAUUUUAUUUGAUAAGGUAAUUUUUCUAAUAUAAAAAGUUAAUCUCAUCAUCUUAUAGGAGAAAAUGUAUGCAAGAGGAUUCUUCUUGAACCCGAAGAUGGGAAGUGACCUUCUUCUUGCAGCAGCAGGAGAAAAGGUAAUUAGCAAUAUGUUUAGCCACUAAAAUGGUCUGCAUCUAUUGCUUUUGCUCUUGUGAUACCUCAUAUUGGAGUCAUGAUCAUGUUGUUAAGAUAAUUCAACCUAACAAGUUUGUGUUCCAUGUUUUUUUGUUGGCAAUGCUGCACUGCGAGUUUGCCAUCCAUAUUAUCCGGUCUUGGGUCUUUACCUGAAAAAGACGGUAGGCUUGUAGGCUUGGUGGUGUUGGAGAAUAUACUAAUACAAACUCAUAAUUGUACAGACGGGUGGAUACACUACUGCCAAUUAUGUAUGGGAUCUUUUGCAAAGCCGCAGGAUCAGUCCAUCUCUUCCUGCAGUGAAGGCCUAUUAUGAAGGUUUAAAGGUAACAGACCAUCUCAUUACCGAUAUAUGUGCUGUAUUAGUUAGGAAAUUUUGCAGACUAUACAUGAAGCACUAAGAUUUAGCAGCAUUAAUUAGGAAGGUUCAGAGACUUAUGUCAGAAGCAGUAAGAUUUAAUAUCUACAUUCCAAACUAUUUGGGAUUAGCUAACGACUAGAUUCAUAGACCUUGAAGCGUUAUCUACCUGGCCAUACAUCGGUCAUUCUCGAGUAAAAGACCGAUGCCUUUUUUCUUAACUUGUGCAGCCUUGAAUCUAUCUUGGUCCUAUCACAGUGUUAACAGAUUCGGUUUUGCAACUUGCAAUUAUGUGCAUGUCUUCAUUGAUUUUUUCAGGAAAGGGAGAUACCAGCAGAUGAUCCAAGGCUUGUGUUGGUUGGGCGCAUGUAUGACAAUCUAAACCUUAGAUUUGGAGGGAGGAGAAACACCUAGUAUGGAUCCGUCAUGCCCUUGAGAUGCUUCUUCUAGAGCCAUGAGUGUUGUCUCCUUGUGCACUUAAUCCAGAAGAAAGCACAAGAACAGUCUUGAAGUCAACAGUGAAGCUAAGUCGUGUACUUAACCAAAGAGCAAAGCCGGUACAUCCGCUUAUACUUGCUUGAGAGCAGGUUUUAAGUUGCAUUUCAUCGAGUUUAUGCUACAGAUCUAUCAUUCUUGGUUUUACCAACACAGAAGACCAACUGAGAGUUUCACAGCAACUCGCAGAUUUCUACGCAAAUAAUCUUCUAACCUGACAACUUCUCAAAUGAAACAAACAGAAACCAAUGUUGGUGAAUAAGCUCAACCAUGGCUGCUGUUGAUUUUUUCGAGUUUGAGUCUGCUUUGGAGUCUUAAAUCUUUCAAUGCUUAUAUCCUUAUAUUUGAGUCAUGAAACAAAGCUCUUGUUCCUCAAAUUUGAUUGCAGAACUACGUUCCUCGGAUGAGCUGAAGUUUCUUUUCUUUCAUUCAUCUGAUCAAGCAACUGUUAUGCCUAUCCCUCAGUUUAAUCAGAGUCCUUUCACUGUGUGCUGUGUGACGAUGCAUGUCCGCGCGCAUAUACUGUUACGUAAAUGUGAAGUCUUUAAUGGUCAACGAUGUUGCCAGUCUUCGACUAUAUUUGAUCUGUGGAAAAGAUGCAAAGAGAAAGUUACAGUCGGUGCGACUGCAAGCCAUCACAGUUGACCAGGUUGUACAUGAGAAUUUUGCCAUAUAUAUAUAUAUAUAUAAUCUCGGUGGUUGGUGUAGUCAAGAUGUCUUCAUCAAUUAUAAGCGAUGGCUAUUGAUGAGGUCACAAACUCGGAUAAUGUUUGUGUUGCACAGCUAAGCUAACCUUUUGACCCACGAAAUGUAAACCUAGGAAUCAAUCACAGUAUUGGUGGACUUCUAGAAGUAUGCUUCUUUUUGCGAGCGAGACAUGGCUGAUCGUGACCGGCAACCGGUGACUCUCUCCCUCUUUCUAGUUGUCACGUCGUUGCCGACGGGUCGAGUUCUUUCUGCCCGCACGUUUCCCACGCCGCCCCCCCCCCGACCACCUUCUCCCGUUCCUACCUCCACCUCGCGUCUUCAACACACCUCUCACGAAAGAUUUAGGUGAGGGAGGAAAAAAGGAUUCAUUGAAUCAUCAACAUAUAACAUCACGUUUUAUAGAAUGUUUUACGAUACUCCAAUCCUUAUAGAUAUGUAUAUUUGUAUGUAGCUUACCUCUGCCUGUUUCCUUCCGUCUCUAUCCUUUGCGGGUGCAUGGAUUGGAUUCCGGAGGAGGAUGAAUCCUCUGAAGGAAUCUCGGAGGGAAGUGGAGACUCCGUCGCCGAUGCGAUCGCGAUGGCGCCUUCAGAAACCAUGGCGUACGACAGCGACGACGCGGAGUCCUGCUGCGGCGGCGACGAUGAAGGCGGUGCUGCCGUAGGUAAAGGCGAGGUGGAAGAAAGGUGCGUGUCGUGGAGAUGCUGGCUGGUGGAGCGCGCGCCCGAGUACGAGGUGGGGAAGGUGGACGACCGACGAGGAGCGAACGAGCCAGCUGCGGCGGCGUCGGACGCGGAGAGCGCUAGGCUGUUCUGGGAGGCCUGCCUUGCCCAUGGCUACCCAUGACUCCUGAGUUCCCGACGUCUCUCUCU